rnacentral:rRNA from 1 species
CACUUGCCUAAUACAUGCAAGUCGUACGCUAGCCGCUGAAUUGAUCCUUCGGGUGAAGUGAGGCAAUGACUAGAGUGGCGAACUGGUGAGUAACACGUAAGAAACCUGCCCUUUAGUGGGGGAUAACAUUUGGAAACAGAUGCUAAUACCGCGUAACAACAAAUCACACAUGUGAUCUGUUUGAAAGGUCCUUUUGGAUCGCUAGAGGAUGGUCUUGCGGCGUAUUAGCUUGUUGGUAGGGUAGAAGCCUACCAAGGCAAUGAUGCGUAGCCGAGUUGAGAGACUGGCCGGCCACAUUGGGACUGAGACACUGCCCAAACUCCUACGGGAGGCUGCAGUAGGGAAUUUUCCGCAAUGCACGAAAGUGUGACGGAGCGACGCCGCGUGUGUGAUGAAGGCUUUCGGGUCGUAAAGCACUGUUGUAAGGGAAGAAUAACUGAAUUCAGAGAAAGUUUUCAGCUUGACGGUACCUUACCAGAAAGGGAUGGCUAAAUACGUGCCAGCAGCCGCGGUAAUACGUAUGUCCCGAGCGUUAUCCGGAUUUAUUGGGCGUAAAGCGAGCGCAGACGGUUUAUUAAGUCUGAUGUGAAAUCCCGAGGCCCAACCUCGGAACUGCAUUGGAAAUGAACGAG